AACAAGGUCUCCUGAAAUACAUCCUUACAGCCUCUGCCAAAUUCCACCACCAUUUUCGCCCCAAGCAUUGGCAAAACCUUUGAUUUGAUCCUUGAACCUCUCUGGCUCCGCCGAUGUUUCAUUCCCGAUGAAUCAACCCCAAAUUUCUUGGUCUCGAAUGCUAGCGUCGAAAUUCCAAUUACUUCGCCAUUGAAACUUAUCCCAGUAUCUUCAACUAAACUAGGUAACUCCUCCCUCCAUGACCUCGAAGAAGAUCCCAUUACCUCCCCCAUUUCCAGAGUUCUUUGUGUCUGUAGAUUUAUGAAUUAACCCAUCCUCCUACAAACAAUUUAGGUUGGAGAGUUUCAAAGAAAAGGCUGUACAGACGAAUUUGCCCCUC
rnacentral:lncRNA from 1 species